GCCCUGGUAGCUCAAUGGAUAGAGCAAUCCCCUCCUAAGGGAUAGGUUGUGGGUUCGAUUCCCGCCUAGGGCA
rnacentral:tRNA from 1 species